rnacentral:lncRNA from 1 species
CAGCAAGAAGACUAGUGUGAUAGGGUGGCUCUUAUAUAGCCCUCAGUGACCCCACCUGUUGUUACUCAGGACCUAGUGUCAUGCUUUCCCCUAGAGUAACUAUCUUGUAACCAAUAAAAUACAGCAACAUUGAGAGGAUGUCCCUUUUCUACUUAAGUCACAAAAGAUGCUGACUUUGUCUUGCUUGUGGAUUCUCUCUCUCUCCCUUGUCUCAUUAGCCUUGAUGAAACAAGGGGCGUGUUGGAGAGGCCUAUGUGGCAAGAAACUGAGGGUAGCUUCUUGCCAACAGCCAGCAAGGAAUGGAAGCUCUCAGUGCAACAGCGCUUAUGAAACUGAAUCCUCUUAACGACCACGUCGGUGAGCUCGGAAGUGGAUUUUUCUCCAUCUGAGUCUUCAGAUUACAUCAGAAAAAUCCCAACUGGAGGCCAUUCUAUAAAAUGCAUGAGCUGCCUUAAUGUCAAGGUCAUCAAAAAAAAGCCAGAAAGACUUCUAUCAAAAUGCUAAAUAGAAGCCAUGACCACAGAUGUCCUGUCAAAUUGUUUAUCUUUGGACAAGAGUUUGUCAUAUUUCACUACUAAAUAUUAUAAUUGCUCUAAACUUUAAAUUAAUUUUCACUGGUUAACAAAUUUUCAUUUUAUUUCCAGUUUGCUAAAAAAUUUUAGUAUGAAUGACUGUUGAAUUUUUAUCAAUUUCUUUUUGUAUCAAUCAACAUGAACGUAUGAUUCAUCUUGUAUAUUCUACUAAUGUGGUGACUUACAAUGAUAUAUUUCCAAAU